GCAAGUCUGGUGCCAGCAGCCGCGGUAAUUCCAGCUCCAAUAGCGUAUAUUAAAGUUGUUGCAGUUACAAAGCUCGUAGUUGAACCUUGGGCCUGGCUGGCCGGUCCGCCUCACCGCGUGCACUGGUCCGGCCGGGCCUUUCCUCCUGGGGAGCCGCAUGCCCUUCACUGGGCGUGGCGGGGAAACAGGACUUUUACUUUGAAAAAAUUAGAGUGCUUCAGGCAGGCCUAUGCUCGAAUACAUUAGCAUGGAAUAAUAGAAUAGGACGUGCGGUUCCAUUUUGUUGGUUUCUAGGACCGCCGUAAUGAUUAAUAGGGAUAGUCGGGGGCAUCAGUAUUCAAUUGUCAGAGGUGAAAUUCUUGGAUUUAUUGAAGACUAACUACUGCGAAAGCAUUUGCCAA
rnacentral:rRNA from 1 species